rnacentral:rRNA from 1 species
GGCAGCCGUAGGGAAUUUUUCGCAAUGGGGGAAAGUCUGGCGGAGCACCGCCGCGUGAGUGAUGAAGGUUUUUGGAUUGUAAAAGUCUGUUGUUAGGGAAGAACAAGUUCCGUUCAAAUAGGGCGGCACCUUGACGGUACCUAACCAGAAAGCCACGGCUAACUACGUGCCAGCAGCCGCGGUAAUACGUAGGUGGCAAGCGUUGUCCGGAAUUAUUGGGCGUAAAGGGCUCGCAGGCGGUUUCUUAAGUCGGAUGUGAAAGCCCCCGGCUCAACCUGGGAGGGUCAUUUGGAAACUGGGGAACUAGAGUGCAGAAGAGGAGAGUGGAAUUCCACGUGUAGCGGUGAAAUGCGUAGAGAUGUGGAGGAACACCAGUGGCGAAAGGCGACUCUCUGGUCUGUAACUGACGCUGAGGAGCGAAAGCG